UGGCGGCGUGCCUAACACAUGCAAGUCGAACGAGAAAGCUCUUCGGAGUGAGUAGAGUGGCGCACGGGUGAGUAACACGUAGGUGACCUACCAUGCAGAGGGGGAUAACCCAGAGAAAUUUUGGGCUAAUACCGCGUACGAUCAGCAAACCUGAGAGUAGCUGAUGAUAGGAUGCUUCGGCAUUCACUGUAUGAUGGGCCUGCGGGACAUUAGCUUGAUGGUGGGGUAACGGCCUACCAUGGCGACGAUGUCUAGCGGAUUUGAGAGAAUGAUCCGUCACACUGGAACUGAGACACGGUCCAGACUCCUACGGGAGGCAGCAGUGGGGAAUAUUGCGCAAUGGGGGAAACCCUGACGCAGCAACGCCGCGUGAGUGAGGAAGGUUUUCGGAUUGUAAAGCUCUGUCAACGUGGAAAAACGGCAGUUGGUCUAAUAGGCCUUCUGUUUGAUGGUACACGUAAAGGAAGCACCGGCUAACUUCGUG
rnacentral:rRNA from 1 species